rnacentral:rRNA from 1 species
AUGACUCAGGACGAACGCUGGCGGCGUGCUUCAUACAUGCAAGUCGAACGAGAAAUUCACUUCGGUGGAUGGAAAGUGGCGGACGGGUGAGUAAUGUGUAGAGAAUCUGCCCUAGAGUGGGGGACAACAGUUGGAAACGACUGCUAAUACCCCAUAUGCGCGUAGUUGAGAUACUAUUCGUGAAAACUCCGGUGCUCUGGGAUGAGUCUGCAUCUGAUUAGCUAGUUGGGGGUGUAAUGGACCACCAAGGCGACGAUCAGUAGCUGGUUUGAGAGGAUGAUCAGCCACAAUGGGACUGAGACACGGCCCAUACUCCUACGGGAGGCAGCAGUAGGGAAUUUUGCGCAAUGGGGGAAACCCUGAACCGCAGCAACGCCGCGUGACCGAUUAAGCCCUUCGGGGUGUAAAGGUCUGUCAGUGGGGACGAAACCUGACGGUACCCACAGAGGAAGCAUCGGCUAACUCCGUGCCAGCCGCAGC